UACAGAGGUCCCAAGCGUUGUUCGGAUUCAUUGGGCGUAAAGAGCGUGUAGGCGGCCAGGUAGGUGGGUUGUGAAAACUGGAGGCUCAACCUUCAGACGUCGACCCAAACCCCCUGGCUAGAGUCCGGAAGAGGAGAGUGGAAUUCCUGGUGUAGCGGUGAAAUGCGCAGAUAUCAGGAAGAACACCCGUGGCUAAGGCGGCUCUCUGGACGGUACUGACGCUGAGACGCGAAAGCGUGGGGAGCGAACAGG
rnacentral:rRNA from 1 species